GGGCCUUAGCUCAAUGGCAGAGUGUCUGCUUUGGAUGCAGAAGGCCCCAGGUUCAAUUCCUGGCAUCUCCA